rnacentral:rRNA from 1 species
GAUGAACGCUGGCGGCGUGCCUAAUACAUGCAAGUAGAACGCUGAAGGAGGAGCUUGCUCUUCUGGAUGAGUUGCGAACGGGUGAGUAACGCGUAGGUAACCUGCCUGGUAGCGGGGGAUAACUAUUGGAAACGAUAGCUAAUACCGCAUGACAACAGUUAUUGCAUGAUAACUGUUUAAAAGGGGCAACUGCUCCACUACCAGAUGGACCUGCGUUGUAUUAGCUAGUUGGUGAGGUAACGGCUCACCAAGGCGACGAUACAUAGCCGACCGGAGAGGGGGAUCGGCCGUCCUGGGACUGAGACCCGCCCCAGACGCCUACGGGAGGCAGCAGUAGGGAAUCUUCGGCAAUGGGCGGAAGUCUUACCGAGCAACGCCGCGUGAGUGAGGAAGGUUGUCGGGUCGUAAAGCUCUGCUGUAAGGGAAGAACGAGUGUGAGAGUGGAACGUUCACACUGUGACGGUAUCUUACCAGAAAGGGACGGCUAACUACGUG